UACGAAGGGGGCUAGCGUUGUUCGGAAUUACUGGGCGUAAAGCGCACGUAGGCGGAAUGUUAAGUCAGGGGUGAAAUCCCGGGGCUCAACCCCGGAACUGCCUUUGAUACUGGCAUUCUCGAGUCCGGAAGAGGUGAGUGGAAUUCCGAGUGUAGAGGUGAAAUUCGUAGAUAUCGGGAGGAACACCAGUGGCGGAGGCGGCGAUCUGGGAAGAUACUGACGCUGAGGUGCGAAAGCGUGGGGAGCAAACAGG
rnacentral:rRNA from 1 species